GGGCCCGCACAAGCGGUGGAGCAUGUGGUUUAAUUCGACGCAACGCGAAGAACCUUACCUGGCUCUUGACAUCCUGCGAACUUUCUAGAGAUAGAUUGGUGCCUUCGGGAACGCAGUGACAGGUGCUGCAUGGCUGUCGUCAGCUCGUGUCGUGAGAUGUUGGGUUAAGUCCCGUAACGAGCGCAACCCUUGUCCUUAUUUGCCAUCAUUUAGUUGGGCACUCUAGGGAGACUGCCGGUGACAAACCGGAGGAAGGUGGGGGACGACGUCAAGUCAUCAUGGCCCUUACGACCAGGGCUACACACGUGCUACAAUGGGGCGUACAAAGGGUUGCAAUCCCGCGAGGGGAG
rnacentral:rRNA from 1 species